CGCGGUGUACUCCACCGGCCCCCUGUGGCCUCUCCAUCCGCGGCGGGGGAAGAAGCUGGAGUCGCACCUCUCCCAAGAGCACAGGCGGCCCCCACUGGGCCUGACAGCAGCCUGGGGCCAGCCCAGUAUCCAGAGCAGCGUUCAGCAGGGACUGCAGACUCAGGACUGGGUAAGCGGAAGGAAACCCUGGCCGAGGCUACUCUCCUGUCCCCAGCCCGCCUGAGGCCGCUGUCUCUGAAAACUCCAGGCUGGUCGUGAUGGGAGUGGGACUGAUGAGAAACAGAUGGCUGGACUCAGGAGGCUCUCUUCCCCAUGGCCCUGGACGAGCACCAAGGUGGACCUGCACCCUUCUUGCCUCCAGAACCGUGGGCCACCGGCCUCUGCUGGGCUCUGUAGAGAGGUCUUCCAAGGCCAGGAAGGAGGCAACGCAGCACACUUCCCUUAGCCCUCCCCAGUGCUCCCACCCCGGGCUGAAGGUGGCAAGAAGCAGGAGGGAAAGCAAGGUCCCCGGGGGGGUGGUGUCCUCCCAACCAGGUGGGGCAGCUGUCAGGAGAAGGAUUUGUCACUGAAAGUUGACCAAAACAAAAUGGUGGGAGAGGCUCUGCUGCGAUUCCCCAAACUGGAAGCAUCUCCUGGUCUCUCUACUGCUGGACAGUGAGCUACAGGCUUGUG
rnacentral:lncRNA from 1 species